GUGCCCAUGUCCCCCUCUUAGACGCCUCCAUCCCCCUCACACCCCACCCAGCAUUACGCACCAGAGCCAUCGCAGAACAGAUUGCGGAAUUACCAUUAGAAUAUAAGGAGCCUGGCUGCUGCGGGCGGCAAAUGGAGAAACCGCUAACGACCCUUGCUCGUCGGACCACGACUCUUCGGACUACGGUCUCUACAUUAGCACCACGACUCUUCAGAUCGUGAGCCUCGGUCUUCAAACUACUAACUUAGCUAAGACCCUCAGACCUCGACCACACGCCUUCUUCCUGAGUGUCAUUCCCCUGGUCAAUCUUUCAAAGCCCCAUCUCAGUACUCUUGCUAACAGCUUUAGUUUUCGGCGCCCAUCAAUAGAGCUGCUCACACGAUCUCCA
rnacentral:lncRNA from 1 species